rnacentral:rRNA from 1 species
CGAAAGUUACGCUAAUACCGCAUACGAUCUAAGGAUUGAAAGCGGGGGGACUCGCAAGAGCCUCGCGCGAUUGGAGCGGCCGAUAUCAGAUUAGGUAGUUGGUGGGGUAAAGGCUCACCAAGCCAACGAUCUGUAGCUGGUCUGAGAGGACGACCAGCCACACUGGAACUGAGACACGGUCCAGACUCCUACGGGAGGCAGCAGUGGGGAAUUUUGGACAAUGGACGCAAGUCUGAUCCAGCCAUUCCGCGUGCAGGAUGAAGGCCCUCGGGUUGUAAACUGCUUUUGUACGGAACGAAAAGGUUUCUAUUAAUACUAGGAGCUCAUGACGGUACCGUAAGAAUAAGCACCGGCUAACUACGUG